UUCUCGGGCUGAUGCUGUUAAGUGAUGGAGUGGGUUGCCAACUGUAGUUGCUGCACUCAGCGCCUAAUGGCUCUGGGGAACAUACUCAGACAUGCCCAGAGAAGUCUGCCUGGGGUGAAACAAGUACCCUUGAGGU
rfam:Oryctolagus cuniculus cont2.34242, whole genome shotgun sequence.